rnacentral:rRNA from 1 species
GACGAACGCUGGCGGCGUGCUUAACACAUGCAAGUCGAACGAAGUGGCGAACGGGUGAGUAACGCGUAAUCAACCUGCCCUUCAGAGGCGGACAACAGUUGGAAACGACUGCUAAUACCGCAUGCUGUAGGUGGGGGGUUCGUCUGAUUAGAUAGGUGGAGGGGUAACGGCCCACCAAGGCGAUGAUCAGUAGCCGGGCUGAGAGGGUGGACGGCCAAAUUGGGAAUGGGAAACGGCCCAGACUCCUACGGGAGGCAGCAGUGGGGAAUCGUCCGAAAUGGAGGAAAGUCUGACGGCGCAACGCCGCGUGAGUGAUGACGGCCUUCGGGUUGUAAAGCUCUGUUAAUCGGGACGCGGUACCGGAAUAGAAAGCAACGGCUAACUACGUGCCAGCAGCCGCGGUAAUUC